CUGAAUGUCCUUUCUUUCUACAAUAGUAUCAUAAUUCUGGGACACUUUCAUACUCUAUGAUUUGAUUGAAGGUGUCAGAUUCACCAUUGUUAUCUAUUACUGCAACUUGAAUUUCCUUAAUCCUUGGUUUGGUCAGGUCAAUCUCCAUACGAGCCUUCACCGUAGAAGGCCUUGUGCGCGCUACAGUGGCUUUGUCCAGAGCAAUCAGGGGACCUAUUGGUUCAAAAAUUCGUUCCAUCGCUGCCCAGGCAUGGUAGUGCCACGGCAGUUCAGGUAAGGUAACGCACACCAGGGCUAUGGUCGAUUCCAAAUCCGCUUUGAAUUUCCUAGUCCAUCUUUCAAUUCCCAUGACCAUUCCACAGAGCAACAUCGAUGAUUUUG
rnacentral:lncRNA from 1 species